CUCCACUUUGCAUCAGUCUAUUUUUCGGCAUCUGGAAGAAAAAAGGAUGCAAGAAAGACAGCAUAUGAGAGCUGUGAAGACUAUGGAUGAACUGAGGGAAAGACAAGGCCUCAAAGAUACAAAAGCUCCUCCAGCACUGGCUGUAAGACAUGUGAGGACAUGUUCGAGCUGCAUUCAGUAUACUAGCAGCAGAAGACGCGAGCCAGGCCCCGGGCAAGGACCUCUCUUCUCUCCGGUCUUUGAGAUCUCCACCCGGAACCGUUACACUCCCCUCCGCGAGACGGUAUGCGACACUGCGAUCAUUGAAGUCUCUAUCGUCCGGCACGACGAUCAUCGUGUCAGGACAGCUUCCCACGUAUCGACAAGGACAUGAAAGGGUCAGUAGAUUUUUUGCUUUAAACGAAUGGUUAUUGUCAUG
ensembl:lncRNA